rnacentral:rRNA from 1 species
AUGAAGCGGAAGUUCAUUAUGAUGCCAGUGCUCAUCGAAGGUCCGAAGCAACCCGGCAACGACAUCGAUGUGUACCUAAGGCCAUUAGUUGAUGAACUUUUACAGCUGUGGGGUGGUGUCCGUGUGUGGGAUGAGCACAAACAAGAGGAAUUUGACCUACGAGCAUUGCUUUUCGUAACCAUCAACGAUUGGCCUGCUCUUAGUAACCUUUCGGGACUGUCAAAUAAGGGAUACAAUGCAUGCACGCACUGCUUACAUGAGACUGAAAGUGUACAUUUGCCAAAUUGUAAGAAGAACGUGUACCUUGGGCAUCGUCGAUUUCUUCUGAAAAUUCAUCCAGUAAGAAAGAAAGGCAAGCAUUACAACGGCAAGGCAGAUCACCGGCCGAAGCCUGCGGAACGCACUGGUGCUGAGGUAUUUGAUAUGGUCAAGGAUUUGAAAGUCAUCUUUGGAAAGGGUCCUGGCGGACAAUCAGUUCCGAAGGGAGCUGACGGGCACGCAGCCAUGUGGAAGAAGAAAUCUAUAUUCUGGGAGCUAGAAUAUUGGAAAGUCCUAGAUGUCCGCUCUGCAAUCGACGUGAUGCACGUUACGAAGAAUAUUUGCGUGAACCUCCUAAGCUUCUUGGGCGUGUAUGGGAAGACAAAUGAUACAAAGGAAGCACGACAGGACCAGCAACGUUUGAAAGACCCUGAUGACCGGCAUCCGGAAUGGUUUCAAGGUCAUGCCAGCUACGCUCUGACCAAAGAAGAGAAGGUCAUCUUUUUUGAAUGCCUGAGCAGUAUGAAGGUCCCGUCUGGAUUCUCGUCCAAUAUAAAGGGAAUAAUAAACAUGGCGGAGAAAAAGUUCCAAAACCUGAAGUCUCACGACUGCCACGUGAUUAUGACGCAAUUGCUUCCGAUUGCUUUGAGGGGGCUCCUGCCGGAAAAUGUUCGAGUAGCCAUUGUGAAGCUAUGUGCAUUCCUCAAUGCAAUCUCUCAGAAGGUAAUCAAUCCAGAAGUUCUACCACGGUUACAGAACGAUGUGAUCCAAUGUCUUGUCAGUUUCGAGUUGGUGUUCCCGCCAUCCUUCUUCAAUAUUAUGACGCACCUCCUGGUUCACCUAGUCGAAGAGAUUUUCGUUCUCGGUCCUGUAUUUCUACACAAUAUGUUCCCCUUCGAGAGGUUCAUGGGAGUAUUAAAGAAAUAUGUUCGUAACCGUGCUAGGCCAGAAGGAAGCAUCGCCAAGGGCUAUGGAAAUGAGGAGGUAAUUGAGUUUUGUGUUGACUUUGUUCCUGACCUUAAGCCGAUUUGUCUUCCUCGAUCGCGGCACGAGGGGAGACUAAGUGGAAAAGGCACGAUCGGAAGGAAAUCAACGAUAUGUAUGGACGGCCAUUCUCUGACUGAAGCACACCACACUGUACUGACCAAUUCCAGCUUGGUGGCUCCGUACUUUGAGAAACACAAGAAUAUUUUACGCUCGGACAACCCGGGGAAGCCUGAAUCCUGGAUUAGGAAGGCCCACAUGGAGACUUUCGGCAGUUGGUUGAGAAAACAUUUAAUGAAUGACAAUGAUGUUGUAGAUCAGCUGUACAUGUUGGCCAAGACACCAUCUUCGACUAUAACGACUUUCCAAGGGUACGAGAUAAAUGGGAAUACAUUUUACACGAUCGCCCAAGAUAAAAAGAGCACCAACCAAAACAGUGGUGUCCGCUUUGAUGCAGCAACCGAGAAUGGGCAAAAGGUCACAUAUUAUGGUUACAUAGAGGAGAUAUGGGAACUUGACUAUGGACCCUCCUUUAAGGUCCCUUUGUUCCGGUGCAAAUGGUUCAAGCUAACAGGAGGUGGGGUAAAGGUGGACCAGCAAUACGGAAUGACAAUGGUGGAUUUCAACAAUCUUGGUUACCUUGAUGAACCAUUCGUCCUAGCGAAAGAUGUCGCUCAGGUUUUCUAUGUGAAGGACAUGAGUAGCAAACCGAGGAAACGGAAAGAUAAGAAAACGAUCAGUGCAUCAUGCGAUGAUCCAAAGCGCCACAUUGUUCUUUCAGGGAAAAGAAACAUCGUGGGAGUGGAGGACAAGACAGACAUGUCAGAAGAUUAUAAUAUGUUUGCUGAAAUUCCGCCCUUCAAAGUGAACACCGACCCAAGCAUUAAGUUAAAUGAUGAGGAUGCUCCAUGGAUACGGCACAAUCGUAAGCAAGCAGGGACACAAGGGAAGAAAUGA